GUGGAUUAGAUACCCCAGUAGUCCUGGCAGUAAACGGUGCACGUUUGGUGUGGGAGGAUUCGACCCCUUCCGUGCCGGAGCUAACGCGUUAAACGUGCCGCCUGGGGAGUACGGUCGCAAGAUUAAAACUCAAAGAAAUUGACGGGGGCCCGCACAAGCGGUGGAGUAUGUGGCUUAAUUCGAUGCAACGCGAAGAACCUUACCUGGCCUUGACAUGCAUCUCUAAGUCGGUGAAAGCCGGCGACUAUAGCAAUAUAGAAUUUGCACAGGUGCUGCACGGCUGUCGUCAGCU
rnacentral:rRNA from 1 species